rnacentral:rRNA from 1 species
AUUUAGAGAGUUUGAUCCUGGCUCAGGGUGAACGCUGGCGGCGCGCUUAAUGCAUGCAAGUCGAACGUGCCUUCGGGCAAGUGGCAGACGGCUGAGUAACGCGU